GCAGAGUUGGAAGCAGGACAGAACUGCUCAUUUUUGUAAGACAAUAUAAAUGUCCAUGUUUUACAGAACCCACGAGUAAACAACUCCAAUCAUAACACACUUGAUGUCAUCAUUCAUGUGUGCAACAUAUGUGGUGCAGAAUUGAAAUCUGCCG